rnacentral:rRNA from 1 species
UCAAUGGAGAGUUUGAUCCUGGCUCAGGACGAACGCUGGCGGCGUGCUUAACACAUGCAAGUCGAACGGUGACGAUGGGAGCUUGCUCCUGUCUGAUCAGUGGCGAACGGGUGAGUAACACGUGAGUAACCUGCCCCGGACUCUGGAAUAACCCCGGGAAACCGGAGCUAAUACCGGAUAUGACACCAACCUGCAUGGGUAUGGUGUGGAAAGUUUUUCGGUCUGGGAUGGACUCGCGGCCUAUCAGCUUGUUGGUGAGGUAAUGGCUCACCAAGGCGACGACGGGUAGCCGGCCUGAGAGGGCGACCGGCCACACUGGGACUGAGACACGGCCCAGACUCCUACGGGAGGCAGCAGUGGGGAAUAUUGCACAAUGGGCGAAAGCCUGAUGCAGCGACGCCGCGUGAGGGAUGACGGCCUUCGGGUUGUAAACCUCUUUCAGCAGGGAAGAAGCGCAAGUGACGGUACCUGCAGAAGAAGCACCGGCUAACUACGUGCCAGCAGCCGCGGUAAUACGUAGGGUGCGAGCGUUGUCCGGAAUUAUUGGGCGUAAAGAGCUUGUAGGCGGUUUGUCGCGUCUGCCGUGAAAAUUCGAGGCUCAACCUCGAACUUGCGGUGGGUACGGGCAGACUAGAGUGUGGUAGGGGAGACUGGAAUUCCUGGUGUAGCGGUGAAAUGCGCAGAUAUCAGGAGGAA